AGUUAAAUAGUACGUGAAAUUGUUGAAAGGGAAACGAUUGAAGUCAGUCAUGCUAGUGAAAAAUCAGUUUGACGGGUUUUGAGUUCAGGAGUAGAGGCAGGGUCAAACCGUUUCUCUUUUGAACUUGGGAUUUGUUAGAUGUACUUUUUCUUUGGCAGGUCAGCGUCGAUUUCGGAGGUUGUAAAAUACUUGGGGGAAAGUAACUCUGCUUCGGGAGAGUAUUAUAGACCCUGGGGGAUGCAGCCUGCGGGAUCGAGGAUUGCAGCAAAUGCCUUUGGCUUGUCGCCUGAUCUCUGGAUGUUACCUCGCUUGUGACAACAUUCUUGCCACCUGUGGGUACUAAUGCCCAUUAGGUUAGAGCGAUCAAAAAUUUUGCUAAGGAUGCUGACGUAAUGGCUUUAAA
rnacentral:misc_RNA from 1 species